rnacentral:misc_RNA from 1 species
GCAAACUUGGUCAUUUAGAGGAAGUAAAAGUCGUAACAAGGUUUCCGUAGGUGAGUGAACCACGCCCUUGCCCCCCAACUCUCUAUGAUGUACUAACUGUGAUUAAUAGGUGAACCUGCGGAAGGAUCAUUACCGAGUACCGGUGCCCUCUGGGUGCCUACUCCCACCAUUUGUGAACCUUUGACCGUUGCUUUGGCGGACCGGCUCUGCCCCCCGGCGUUGUUGGGGCGCGUCCGCCAGAGGAUCUUUAAACCCUCUUAACUUUGAAAUCAGAGUUGAUGAAAAUAAAUCAAAACUUUCAACAACGGAUCUCUUGGUUCUGGCAUCGAUGAAGAACGCAGC